rnacentral:rRNA from 1 species
CCCUUAGAUGUUCUGGGCAGCACGCGCGCUACAAUGGUCUUCGCAAACGGAUGCAUUCUCGAAGGAGAAUGCCAAUCUUGGAAUCUAUGCCUUGGUCGGGACAGUUGCUUGCAAUUUUUCGACUCGAACCAGGAAUUCCUUGUAAUCGUGAUUCAUCACAUCACGAUGAAUACGUCCCUGCCCUUUGUACACACCGCCCGUCGCUCCUACCGAUCGAAGAGUUAGGUGAAUUGUUUUGAUCGAUAAGAUUUGACUAGGGUCAACUCUCGUUGUGAAAUUCUGUGAAUCUGACUGUUUAGAGGAAGGAAAAGUCGUAACA